GUGGCUGUGGCUUAGUUGGUUAAAGCCCUGUCUAGUAAACAGGAGAUCCUGGGUUCGAAUCCCAGCAGUGCCU
rnacentral:tRNA from 1 species